rnacentral:rRNA from 1 species
AUUGAACGCUGGCGGCAGGCCUAACACAUGCAAGUCGAGCGGAUGAAGGGAGCUUGCUCCUGGAUUCAGCGGCGGACGGGUGAGUAAUGCCUAGGAAUCUGCCUUGUCUUUGGGGCUAACGUCCGUAAACGGGCGCUAAUACCGCAUCCGUCCUGAUGUAGAACGUGGGGGAUCUUCGGACCUCACGCUAUCAGAUGAGCCUAGGUCGGAUUAGCUAGUUGGUGGGGUAAAGGCCUACCAAGGCGACGAUCCGUAACUGGUCUGAGAGGAUGAUCAGUCACACUGGAACUGAGACACGGUCCAGACUCCUACGGGAGGCAGCAGUGGGGAAUAUUGGACAAUGGGCGAAAGCCUGAUGCAGCCAUGCCGCGUGUGUGAAGAAGGUCUUCGGAUUGUAAAGCACUUUAAGUUGGGAGGAAGGGCAGUAAGUUAAUACCUGGAUGUUUUGACGGUACCAAAAGAAUAAGCACCGGCUAACUUCGUG